GGACGAUGUUUAAAAGAUUGGCAAGGAUGCAUAAGUAUGAGAUGCAAUCGUUCUAAGCGUGACCUAACCCCGAUGAUUUAGGAUUAGUGAGUGGUAAUGAUUAGUUCAAGGUGUGUUGCACUUUUAGAGUGAUUCACAAACAAGGUUAUUAUUAGGGUUUGGUUAUCUUAGCAUCAUAAACAAGUGAUAUAAUGCAUCGUACGAUCAUACACACAAAGGAAUAAUGGUUGCAUAACAUGUAAAGAUUAGUUGCCAGUUUUAAGUUCUACAGGACAUGAUUGAUGAUUACUUCAAAAGAAUAACUUUUGAAGAACAUAUUUUCAUAAAGAAGAACUACUACAAGUAGGAGCUAUGUGUUUCUAGGAUUUACUAAGAUUCACUAUUAGGUUAAUUUAAUUCACUAAUUAGGAACUAAUUGGUUACUAAGUAGGAUGGGUCUAUAUACAGCAAGUAUUGGCAUGUGUUAGCUAAACAUGGACAACAAAUUAAAUUACUACGCAUAGUUACUACUAUGGUUGAUCAUAGAGUAUCAUAUCAAAGGAUGAUUAUCAAGGUGAUUCCAUGGGUUAACCAUUAGGGUUUACUGUACCAUCCUAUUUGUCUCACUAAGCAAUCAACAAUGGUUUCCUAAAAUAAGUGAUUCAUUAACCUCAAAUAGAGUUCAGUUGAGUAGAAGCAUGUGGAGUGGGUUACUAUACAAGAUUGGUAUUGUGGUUGAUCACUAUGGUUCUACCAAGUCGUGGGUUAAGAUUAAUUCCAAUGGUGUGGUAUUAAUGAUGGUGUUUAUAGGUCAGUUGUUUAAGUAUCAUGCUCCUAUUAAUCCCCCAUUAGAUGAUUUUAGUAACAAGGUAUGACUAGUUUAAUUAGGUAUAGGGGUUAACUUUGAAUUUAUGAUGAAUGUUUAUCUAAACAAGAAAAUUAACACCUAACUCUAGCUAUGAUCUUUUAGUUAAGGUCCUAUCAUAAAGAUUCUAUGUGCAACUUUCAAACAUAGUCAUGCAUAGCAUGUCAAACAACUUGUUUGGAAUUAAGGAUGUGCCACUCAUGUGGUUUAAGUGUGAUUGGAAUUAUUUGGUUUUAUAUGUGAGUUCAAGCUCAUAAUAUUGUUUUUUUUUUAGAAAAUAAGGUUAUAACACUUUUAUAUCAUACUUAGGUUUCAGGACUUUAUUUUCAAGGUUUUAGGAAUUUACAAAAAGGUACUAAAUUAUGUUGGAUUAAAUUAACUAUUUUAAGUAAAGAAAAUAUUCACAUUCUAUAUUUUCUAGAAGUUUCAUAUGUUCUGUUAUUAAUUAAAAGAAAUCAAAUAAUAAGUUUUAUUUAUUAACUUAUGUCUAAGAAAAACUCUAAUAAUAUUUAUUACUUAAUUAAGGUUGAAAUAAUCUUUCAAACAUUUUAGAAUUCAAUUUGUGAUUUUAUUUUUUUAUUUCUAAUGAAAGAUUUGGCUAGAGCUAGUGAGUCAAUAGUGCAUUAGUACUACACGUAUACGUAUAACCUAGUUAGUUUGGCUAGAACUAGUGCUUCAAUUGCACAUACGCACGUAUAUACAGAGUUACGGACGACGACACACUAAUCAGUUUUGAUUCGGCCCAAAAGUGCACUCACGACACGGCACUCACGACCUCACGCGGCCUGCUCUUUACGCGCAUACGCUUCUUCUCUCUAUCGUUUCCCCAACCUCACACGCGCCCAAACAUUCUGCCGUGACUCCAUGCCCUCCGCCAUGCCGCCUCCCGCUCCUGUCCGAUUCCGGUCCUCCCCGACGCCGGCGUGGUGGGGUUCUGGACCGCCUCGCCGUGCUCUACCUCUCGGUCCAGAUCGAUUUGAUUUUCCAUCUCUACCUCGUCCGCCCCCAAACCUGGAAGCCCUAGCGGCCGCUGGUCGGUUUGGCCGUCGCCGGCCAACCCCCGCGCCGCCGCUGGUCGCUGCUGCUGUCCAGUGAGGCUUCACCCACACCCACCGCCUCGAUGCCGCCCUAGGCGCGAGCGCCGCUCUGCUCUUGCUCACUCCCAGCGCUUCCUGGAGUGGCUCCGCCGCCAUCUCCUCCUGGCCGUUGAUGGCUGCCUUCGGCACCUCUGCUGUCUGACCGGCGGGGAUCCACCAUAUACGCGCCGCCGCCACGACCCAAGCGCCUCCACGCGCGCUCGGCCGAACCCUAGGUUCGCCGGUGUGAUGCUGCAAGCCGCUGCUGCUCCCCAUUGGCGACCCCGCCUCCUCGUCGACCACGAGCCCCAGCUCGAGCUCGUCAUCUCGGUGGUGUCUGGUGAUUUGGUGUGCUGUUCAUGGCGCCGUGUUAUGCUGUUGCGACUACUUCAUCCUCGACGCCGGCUAGACGGUGCCGCGGACGCAACCCCCAGCUGGACGGUGUCGCGGAUGCAACCCCGGCGUCGCUUACCUUGCUACCCCUGUACGACGCUGUGAUCACUUGAACAAGAGGCAAUGAUCUUCAAAUUUAGUUUAGGAUUUGAUUCUCUUUUCUUAUACUUGUAAUUAUACUAUAUUAUUAUUCUUUAUAUUUUUUUAAAGACUUUGUAUUAUUGUGUUAAUAUUAAUAAAGUUGUAAUUUCUCUA